rnacentral:tRNA from 1 species
GCGGGCGUGGCGGAACUGGCAGACGCGUCGGAUUUAGGAUCCGAUGCCGCAAGGCGUGGAGGUUCAAGUCCUCUCGUCCGCACCA